UACGUAGGGCGCAAGCGUUAUCCGGAAUUAUUGGGCGUAAAGAGCUCGUAGGCGGUUUGUCGCGUCUGCCGUGAAAGUCCGGGGCUCAACUCCGGAUCUGCGGUGGGUACGGGCAGACUAGAGUGAUGUAGGGGAGACUGGAAUUCCUGGUGUAGCGGUGAAAUGCGCAGAUAUCAGGAGGAACACCGGUGGCGAAGGCGGGUCUCUGGGCCGAAAUUGACGCUGAGGAGCGAAAGCAUGGGGAGCGAACAGG
rnacentral:rRNA from 1 species